UUUAACCACUAUAUUUUUUUGUGAUAUCAAGUAACUUUUGUUUUGUUUUGUUUUGGUUUUUACUUAAAAGUGACCCAAAAAAUGUAAGAAAGACUGCCUUAAAUUUCAUGUAGAAACAAAUGGAAGAACCAUCCCACGGAGCUGUUUUGAGGGAACACGGGACACAAACAUGGCAGUCUCCAUGGCUGCAGUCGGAACUGCAGACAGGAGGUAACUGCGCGGGCAACAACAGGACUUACAGGAAGAGGCCAAAGAAGUUAAGAGCCUUCCUCAUGAUGAGAAGCUUCCUUCACGAAAGGAGCCCCGGGAUUCUGGACUCCAUUGGCUCAGUAGAAUCACCUGGUGAACUUUAAACAAUUCUGCUACCUUGGCCACACAGCCAGACCCUCUGAUUCAGCUGGUCUGCGGUGGGACUUGGCAUUGGCGGCUGCUUCAUCUCCCCAGGUAUUUCUGAUGUGAAGCCGUGGCUGAGAACCCCUGCGUUUAUGCUUCCUUCCCCUGGCACGGUCUCAGAGGCUCAUCUUUGAUCUUGUUGGCCGGGAAGCUGUGACGGGGGCCAUGCUUCUCAUUUUGCCAAUAGGAAAGGGAUGGGUCGGAAACAAAUUGAGUAGCGUUUGCUUUUCAAAACCUUCCUGAGGUCCACAGAAGAUUCUGUCCUGUACUUUUCAUCCACAUACAGGUCUUCCAUUAUGUUAGUUUCUUCUUUAGUGCAUUUUGUUAAGAAGUAGAGAAAGGGAUAAAGCACUAUUUUUAGCAGCUACAAAUGGAAUGUAUUUGAAAAUAAUGGCGGUUCAGAAUUUUAAGGUUCUAUUUCAGAAAUACACACAAGCCUAACUUCAGUUACUAUAAUGUCUAUUUUAUUUAAAGCAGGGUCAUCAAACUUCCUGUAAAGGGCAGAUAGUAAAUAUUUUAUUGAUGUGUGUGUUGCAACUACUCAACUCUCCCUUUGUAGCGCGAAGAACUUCCACAGAUGAGACAUGAAGAGGAGGGCGUGGUUGUGUUCCAAUAAAAGUUUAUUUAGAAAAACA
rnacentral:lncRNA from 1 species